rnacentral:rRNA from 1 species
UACGAAGGGGGCUAGCGUUGCUCGGAAUUACUGGGCGUAAAGCGCACGUAGGCGGCUUGUUAAGUCGGGGGGUGAAAUCCUGGAGCUCAACUCCAGAAUUGCCUUUAAGACUGCAUCGCUUGAAUCCAGGAGAGGUGAGUGGAAUUCCGAGUGUAGAGGUGAAAUUCGUAGAUAUUCGGAAGAACACCAGUGGCGAAGGCGGCUCACUGGACUGGUAUUGACGCUGAGGUGCGAAGGCGUGGGGAGCGAACGGG